AACGAACGCUGGCGGCAGGCCUAACACAUGCAAGUCGAGCGAGAUCUUCGGGUCUAGCGGCGGACGGGUGAGUAACGCGUGGGAAUAUGCCCUUCUCUACGGAAUAGCCUCGGGAAACUGAGAGUAAUACCGUAUACGCCCUUUGGGGGAAAGAUUUAUCGGAGAAGGAUUAGCCCGCGUUGGAUUAGGUAGUUGGUGGGGUAAUGGCCUACCAAGCCGACGAUCCAUAGCUGGUUUGAGAGGAUGAUCAGCCACACUGGGACUGAGACACGGCCCAGACUCCUACGGGAGGCAGCAGUGGGGAAUCUUAGACAAUGGGGGCAACCCUGAUCUAGCCAUGCCGCGUGCGUGGUGAAGGCCCUAGGGUUGUAAAGCUCUUUCAGCUGGGAAGAUAAUGACGGUACCAGCAGAAGAAGCCCCGGCUAACUCCGUGCCAGCCGCCGCAGUAAGAC
rnacentral:rRNA from 1 species